ACUUAGCGGCGGACGGGUGAGUAACGCGUGGGUAGCCUGCCUUACACUGGGGGAUAACAGUUAGAAAUGACUGCUAAUACCGCAUAAGCGCACAGGGCCGCAUGGUCCGGUGUGAAAAACUCCGGUGGUGUAAGAUGGACCCGCGUCUGAUUAGGUAGUUGGUGGGGUAACGGCCCACCAAGCCGACGAUCAGUAGCCGACCUGAGAGGGUGACCGGCCACAUUGGGACUGAGACACGGCCCAA
rnacentral:rRNA from 1 species